rnacentral:rRNA from 1 species
AUUGAACGCUGGCGGCAUGCUUUACACAUGCAAGUCGAACGGCAGCGCGGGCUUCGGCCUGGCGGCGAGUGGCGAACGGGUGAGUAAUGCAUCGGAACGUGCCCAGUAGUGGGGGAUAGCCCGGCGAAAGCCGGAUUAAUACCGCAUACGACCUGAGGGUGAAAGCGGGGGACCGAAAGGCCUCGCGCUAUUUGAGCGGCCGAUGUCGGAUUAGCUAGUUGGUGGGGUAAAGGCUUACCAAGGCGACGAUCCGUAGCUGGUCUGAGAGGACGACCAGCCACACUGGGACUGAGACACGGCCCAGACUCCUACGGGAGGCAGCAGUGGGGAAUUUUGGACAAUGGGGGCAACCCUGAUCCAGCCAUGCCGCGUGCGGGAAGAAGGCCUUCGGGUUGUAAACCGCUUUUGUUCGGGAAGAAAUCCCCUGGGCUAAUACCCCGGGGGGAUGACGGUACCGGAAGAAUAAGCACCGGCUAACUACGUG